rnacentral:rRNA from 1 species
UGCCAGACUCCUACGGGAGGCAGCAGUGAGGAAUAUUGGUCAAUGGGCGAGAGCCUGAACCAGCCAAGUCGCGUGAGGGAGUACUGCCCUAUGGGUUGUAAACCUCUUUUGUCGGGGAGCAAAAGCCGGACGUGUCCGGCUGUGAGAGUACCCGAAGAAAAAGCAUCGGCUAACUCCGUGCCAGCAGCCGCGGUAAUACGGAGGAUGCGAGCGUUAUCCGGAUUUAUUGGGUUUAAAGGGUGCGCAGGCGGAUUUUUAAGUCAGCGGUCAAAUCGUGGGGCUCAACCCCAUCCAGCCGUUGAAACUGGUUUUCUUGAGUGAGUGAGAAGUAUGCGGAAUGCGUGGUGUAGCGGUGAAAUGCAUAGAUAUCACGCAGAACUCCGAUUGCGAAGGCAGCAUACCGGCGCUCAACUGACGCUCAUGCACGAAAGUGUGGGUAUCGAACAGGAUUAGAUACCCGUGUA